GGAUAACCGUGGUAAUUCUAGAGCUAAGACAUGCUAAAAAUCCCGACUCUGGAAGGGAUGUAUUUAUUAGAUUAAAAGCCAACGCCCCCUCACGGGGGGCUGCGUGGUGAUUCAUGAAAACUGAUCGAAUCGCACGGCCCUGCGCCGGCGAUGGUUCAUUCAAAUUUCUUCCCUAUCAACUUUCGAUGUUUGGGUAGGGGCCAAACAUGGUGGCAACGGGUAACGGAGGGUUAGGGCUCGACCCCGGAGAAGGAGCCUGAGAGACGGCUACUACAUCCAAGGAAGGCAGCAGGCGCGCAAAUUACCCAAUCCCGACACGGGGAGGUAGUGACAAUAAAUACCGAUACAGGGCUCUUUUGGGUCUUGUAAUUGGAAUGAGUACAACUUAAAUCCCUUAACGAGGAACAAUUGGAGGGCAAGUCUGGUGCCAGCAGCCGCGGUAAUUCCAGCUCCAAUAGCGUAUAUUAAAGUUGUUGUGGUUAAAAAGCUCGUAGUUGAACCUUGGGCCUGGCUGGCCGGUCCGCCUCACCGCGUGUCACUGGUCCGGCCGGGCCUUUCCCUCUGUGGAACCCCAUGCACUUCACUGGGCGUGGCGGGGAAACAGGACGUUUACUUUGAAAAAAUUAGAGUGCUCCAGGCAGGCCUAUGCUCGUAUACAUUAGCAUGGAAUAAUGAAAUAGGACGUGUGGUUCUAUUUUGUUGGUUUCUAGGACCGCCGUAAUGAUUAAUAGGGACAGUCGGGGGCAUCAGUAUUCAGUUGUCAGAGGUGAAAUUCUUGGAUCUACUGAAGACUAACUACUGCAAAAGCAUUUGCCAAGGAUGUUUUCAUUAAUCAGGAACGAAAGUUAGGGGAUCGAAGACUAUGAGAUACCGUCGU
rnacentral:rRNA from 1 species